rnacentral:lncRNA from 1 species
GGCAGAGCCAGUGAAAAGAGCUCCACGGGCUAGAAGGGCAAGAACCGGCUUGUUCACCAUUGUAUUCCUGCACCACAGCAUAAGCACUCAAUCAUUAUGGGUUAAAGGCUGAAAUUCAAAAAGAGAAAGGGAGAUGUUAGACACCUACUGACCAAGGAGGUGCCCUCCAUUCUGCUUAACCACCGCCCAGGCCAGUCAUUUCUCUCCCUGGAAGACUUUGAGUCAUGCACGCGCAAGGAAAAUUAGAGACAGGGUUUCACCAUGUUGGUCUCAAACUCCUGACCUCAAGUGAUCCACCUGCCUCAGCCUCCCAAAGUGCUGGGAUUACAGACGUGAGCCACUGCCACACAGCCGAAUAAAGGACAAGAGUAGCAAAGAGGAUUAUGAGCAGUGCAAUACAAAACAAGGCUGCAACAAAAGGGCCACAGAAACCUGGAAUCAUUUUGGAAAUCAGUAUACCAUCUUGAAACCAAAAAUGUCUCCAUAAAUAUGAAGGCAAUAGCAAUGCCGUCACUGAGUCUGCCAUGAAGUCAGAAUGCCAAAUGAAGACUAUAAAACUUGGAUUUGCUUGCAGAGUUUCCACUGAAAUUCGAAUUCUUGGUUAGUCACUUUUUUGGAGACAGAGAAAAAUGAUGUGUUCCAAAUCCAAUUAAAGAUUCUGUGUUCUAAUUUUCUUCUAUUGUGAGGAAUUCAGUAGAUGAAAGUACAGGAUCGUGCAAGAUUUAUAAGCCACAUAAGCCCACAUGUUGUCCAAAUGGACUUAGCCAAAACCUUGAGCAAGAAAUUGAAGGAAAGGGGAAGUCCAGUAGUAUGAACUUACUUGAUGAAUAGCAGUGCUAGAUUUACAGAUGGAUAAAAGAUGCUACAUUUGCCAAUGUUGCUUCGUGACUAUUCCAUUUUGCAGGAGUGAAGAAUGGAUGACUUUAUAUAAAUUUAGUGCUUCAGAAUUUUUCUAAUAUGUCACCAUGUUGAUGUUCAACUUAACAUUGCCAUGAUGUGAUCAGAUAUGACAUAACGUGAUAAAUAGCAGGAGUGUCUCACGAUGGAACAUGACACAACAUGGUGUGUCAAGUUUCUUUUGAACCUUUCUCGGGAUCCAAUAUCAGCCAAAAGGAGGUCAUUUUAAUUAUCAGAUGAUUAAUUAAUUAGAUAGUUAAUUGUCACAGGUAGAUUAAUCCAAAGACAAUGUGGUUCUGUACAUGCACGUUUGUAGACAGAGGAAAACGUGACUUUUUAAAACGUACCUAGCUAAAUUAAAAGACACUAAAGUUUAAGAACGUGACUCAUUGUUUAUUCAAAUAACAUUCACAAACGACUAGGAUGCCAGAUGUUGUGCCAGAUGUUGUGUGAAGCAUGUUCAGAAGUAGAAAAUCAUCCCUGCCCUCAAAGGGCUGAUGAUCGAGUUGAAAACAUAAAGCUUUCUUUAAAACAAUCUGGACAUCUAGAGAAUGUUCAAUAAUUUUUUUUAAGUUAAAAACUAAGGAACAGUUUUAAGGCAAUGAAUCUUUUUAAAUGAACUAUUUCCAGUACUUUGCCACUGUUUGCUUUUUAGGGAAAGCUGUCAUAUUCCAGGAACAAGGGUAACUGCAAAGUAAUUUUUUUUAAUCAUAGUAAUGAAAUCCCAGUUUCAGACAUUCUAUGAGUUAGAUGUAAACCAAAAAAAAUUAAAACCCCAUGAAAAACUUUAAUAAAUCAGUUUUUUAAAGUUAUUGUCUACUUUUUAUUUUUCUGCUAAAAGCAGAAAUCCAAGACAUGACAAAUACUUAGUUUUCCAAAAAGAGCUGGAAUCUUAUAACCUUUAUGUAAAAGGCUGCCAAUAUUGUAAGUUCCUUUAUACAUAUUUAGAAGGGAUUUUUUUUUUUUUUGAGAUGGAGUCUCGCUCUGUCGCCCAGGCUGGAGUGCAGUGGCACAAUCUACGCUCACUGCCACCUCCGCCUCCCGGGUUCAAGCGAUUCUCCUGCCUCAGCCUCCCAAGUAGCUGGGACUACAGGCACAUGCCACUACGCCCGGCUAGUUUUUUGUAUUUUUAGUAGAGAUGGGGUUUCACUGUGUCAGCCAGGAUGGUCGUGAUCUCCUGACCUCAUGAUCCGCCUGCCUCAGCCUCCCAAAGUGCUGGGAUUACAGGCAUGAGCCACCGCGCUCGGCCAGAAUUUUUGACAAUCAAUGGCAAUUAAUGUAUCAUGCAAAAUCAUGUCAAGUGCAUUUCUUAAAGUAUCUAUUUGUAUGAGAUUUUGUCCUAGGCGUUAUAAAACAAAAUAAGCAUAUAGUUAAUGUUCUGCAAUCUAAGAUGUAAAGUACUUUUCAUUAUUCUAAACUAAUAAAGCAGUUUUUGUUUUAUUCCCUCAACUCCAC